GCGAAACGACCGUUCCACUCAACGCCACGGCGUGCCGUACACAAAAAUCAACCAUGACGAUGUCGUUCCCGUCCUUGUCGACGACAAUGAGCGAAAGAACGAUCCUUCAUUUGUAAUCGUUACGACGAUGCCAACGAGAGGUGGAAAAACAGAGAGAGACUGAGGGAAAGAAAAGAACACGACACGAAAGAACUCCAAAGGCUUCUGCCUCUUUCUCUGCUGCGGGCGUCUACGAACGACGCCGACGGCAACAAACGGCAGCAGGCAGUAGGAGACGAUACCGAAACAAGGAAGGCGUCAACUAAAUAGAAGGGAUAACGAAAUUAAAAAGAUAGGGGUGUGCGGGAGGAACAAGCAAGAAAAAACUUCCAACGGCGUAGGAAACAGAAGCGAAGCAAGACGCACCGAGAAUUUAAGACGGCCUAGAAAUCCUCCAACAGUUUUGCUGGUCGUUGCCAUCCGGUUCGUUGAUCUAUGAAAGCACGAUCUAGUCAAAACCUCACCUCAACUAGGCGAAUACUUUGGAAAAGUGAAGUGUGGAUUUUGUCUACGAAGCAUGACGCGCCGAACGGUCAUUUUUUCUCCAGAUCCGUUGUAGCCUUUGUAAUGACGACGGCAGGAUUUACUUGCACUGGCAAGCAAAACAGAAAAGGAGCAGACGUCGAAAUUUACCCGCGGCUUUUCAAAACGUGAAAUUCUCACCCACCGCCCGAAACUCGUCCAAGGCUCUCUAAGCAUUACUACGGAAUGCAUCGACAAAGGUCUGAGGGGCGCGAACGAUUGCCCAUUCGCCGCUAAUCGAAUUCGUUGUUGACGGCGUAUCUAUAGUUCACCUACUGGUUUAUAUGACUUGUUCAUGCGAUCAAGAAAAUUUCAACGGAAUAAAACAAAGGAAAGCUUUUACGAAACAAACGGUCGGUGAUGGUGCUCGUGGUAACGAUGACGGCAACGAGCGUUCCUAUGAGGGAAAUUGUAGGUACCGUUAGCGAAAAUGGGCGUGAUUGUAGAUAAAAGGAUUUCUAUCCAUUACAUUUAGUGAGAACCAACCGGUACGAAGGAAAGUCCCCUUCUCAGGGCAAAAAGUAUAACGCGAAUAACUGUCACCUACGGCUGGCGCGUUCACGUUGACCGAAAUCAGGCAACUAAGUGUGUUUCUUUUAAAAAAAAUACAAGCAAAAUCUAGACGUGACGAAGGGAGAAGGUCGCUUGCUAAGGCCCUUAUCCUGCGGGAUGAGAAACUUGAGAUGGAAAACAUCUCUGCAAAAAAUAAUAGUCUCUAUUCAACAUCUAUAUAAA
rnacentral:lncRNA from 1 species